CUGCUGUCACAUAGCCACAAAGUAUGCAAGGCAAAAGAAGCAGGCUGAGCCGCAGUUUCCAACAUCGAAUACAUCUCCAAAGGAAGCGAGUAACAGCUCGUUCAGACGGUCUUUUCGUCGGUAAUUUACAAGUAAUUGCGGUGAUUUUACCGGAAACAGCGUCCACACGUUUCCGUAUUUUCGUCGCACGUUCAGCUACCAAAACAUGGUUUCAAUGAAGUGCGUAAUAGCUGUUAUUGUAAUAGCUUAUUCGCGCUACGACGAAUUAUUCACUCGUCGAUUCAAACGUCUGUUGUAAGAGUCACGGAGACUAUAGAAGAGUGGGAAAUGAUAAAAAUAAAUACGGGAUUUUUAAUAUCGUUCGUGCAGCGAAGGUUCGCUAUUUGGGAUAAAAAGAUGUUGAUAAAAUUAAUAGAUUAGCAAAUAAAAUUUCCCAAAAGUGAGAAAGAAAGUGAUCGCAUUCCAUUUUCUAAAAGUCUUUUGUCAUCGUUACGUAUAUUCAACGAUGAUGAAAUUCUAGAAUUUCAAGUCGAAGUUAUAAAUACAAUACAAUAAA